AUUUAUACUAGUCCGAGCAUUUAUUGCUCACGAGGUUCCAGGCAAUGCAUCGGUUAACGUGAUUCGCCAGCUGUUCUGGCACAUCUCUCGAACAUGCCCAAAGAGAUCGGUAAAGGAGAUCGGUAUAAUUAAUUGAAUAUUUUGAAUAAAGGACCAGUUAAGAAUCGUUCAAUUAGGAACCAGGUCGGAUAAAUAUAUCAGAGAUCGGAAAAUA
rnacentral:misc_RNA from 1 species